CCUACGGGAGGCAGCAGUGGGGAAUUGUUCGCAAUGGGCGCAAGCCUGACGACGCAACGCCGCGUGGAGGAUGAAGGUCUUCGGAUUGUAAACUCCUGUUGCCCGGGAAGAACGGCUCCGACCUAACACGUCGGAGUGUGACGGUACCGGGUGAGGAAGCCCCGGCUAACUCUGUGCCAGCAGCCGCGGUAAUACGUAGGGGGCGAGCGUUAAUCGGAAUUACUGGGCGUAAAGCGCGCGUAGGCGGUUAUUUAAGUCAGAUGUGAAAGCCCCGGGCUUAACCUGGGAAUGGCAUUUGAGACUGGAUGGCUAGAGUAUGGUAGAGGUGAGUGGAAUUUCAGGUGUAGCGGUGAAAUGCGUAGAGAUCUGAAGGAACAUCAGUGGCGAAGGCGACUCACUGGGCCAUUACUGACGCUGAGGUGCGAAAGCGUGGGUAGCAAACAGGAUUAGAUACCCUGGUAGUCCACGCCCUAAACGAUGUCAACUAGGUGUAUGGAGAAUUUAUUCUUUGUGUAUCGAAGCUAACGCGAUAAGUUGACCGCCUGGGGAGUACGGUCGCAAGACUAAAACUCAAAUGAAUUGACGGGGGCCCGCACAAGCGGUGGAUUAUGUGGAUUAAUUCGAUGCAACGCGAAAAACCUUACCUGGCCUUGACAUGUACGGAACUUUCCAGAGAUGGAUUGGUGCUCGAAAGAGAGCCGUAACACAGGUGCUGCAUGGCUGUCGUCAGCUCGUGUCGUGAGAUGUUGGGUUAAGUCCCGCAACGAGCGCAACCCUUGCCAUUAAUUGCCAUCAUUUAGUUGGGCACUUUAAUGGGACUGCCGGUGACAAACCGGAGGAAGGUGGGGAUGACGUCAAGUCCUCAUGGCCCUUAUGGCCAGGGCUUCACACGUAAUACAAUGGUCGGUACAGAGGGUUGCCAAGCCGCGAGGUGGAGCCAAUCCCAGAAAGCCGAUCGUAGUCCGGAUUGCAGUCUGCAACUCGACUGCAUGAAGUCGGAAUCGCUAGUAAUCGCGGAUCAGCAUGUCGCGGUGAAUACGUUCCCGGGCCUUGUACACACCGCC
rnacentral:rRNA from 1 species